UACGUAGGUGGCAAGCGUUGUCCGGAUUUAUUGGGUUUAAAGGGUGCGUAGGCGGUCCUAUAAGUCAGUGCUGAAAUAUCCCGGCUUAACCGGGAGGGUGGCAUUGAUACUGCAGGACUUGAGUAAAGUUGAGGUAGGCGGAAUUGACGGUGUAGCGGUGAAAUGCUUAGAUAUGACAUAGAACACCAAUUGCGAAGGCAGCUCGUUACACGAAGAUUGACUCUGAGGCACGAAAGCGUGGGGAUCAAACAGG
rnacentral:rRNA from 1 species